AGCUUUUCGAAUCCUUGCUGACAUUUCAUCAGACACCAACCCAUUAGGGCUGAUGAGACUUCCAAGAUAAGUGAAGUU
rfam:Schistosoma margrebowiei strain Zambia genome assembly, scaffold: SMRZ_scaffold0002910